rnacentral:rRNA from 1 species
UACGAAGGUGGCAAGCGUUGUUCGGAUUUAUUGGGCGUAAAGAGCGUGUAGGCGGCCAGACAAGUCCGUUGUGAAAACUAGAGGCUUAACCUCUAGACGUCGAUGGAAACUGUUUGGCUAGAGUCCGGAAGAGGAGAAUGGAGUUCCUGGUGUAGCGGUGAAAUGCGCAGAUAUCAGGAAGAACACCCGUUGCUAAGGCGGUUCUCUAGUACGGUACUGACGCUGAGACGCGAAAGCGUGGGGAGCGAACAGG